GGGUUAGUAACGCGUGGGAACAUACCCUUUGGUACGGAAUAGCCUCGGGAAACUGAGAGUAAUACCGUAUGUGCCCUUCGGGGGAAAGAUUUAUCGCCAAAGGAUUGGCCCGCGUUAGAUUAGAUAGUUGGUGGGGUAAUGGCCUACCAAGUCUACGAUCUAUAGCUGGUUUUAGAGGAUGAUCAGCAACACUGGGACUGAGACACGGCCCAGACUCCUACGGGAGGCAGCAGUGGGGAAUCUUAGACAAUGGGCGCAAGCCUGAUCUAGCCAUGCCGCGUGUGUGAUGAAGGCCUUAGGGUCGUAAAGCACUUUCGCCAGAGAUGAUAAUGACAGUAUCUGGUAAAGAAACCCCGGCUAACUCCGUGCCAGCAGCCGCGGUAAUACGGAGGGGGUUAGCGUUGUUCGGAAUUACUGGGCGUAAAGCGUGCGUAGGCGGAUCAGAAAGUAUGGGGUGAAAUCCCAGGGCUCAACCCUGGAACUGCCUCAUAAACUCCUGGUCUUGAGUUCGAGAGAGGUGAGUGGAAUUCCAAGUGUAGAGGUGAAAUUCGUAGAUAUUUGGAGGAACACCAGUGGCGAAGGCGGCUCACUGGCUCGAUACUGACGCUGAGGUACGAAAGUGUGGGGAGCAAACAGGAUUAGAUACCCUGGUAGUCCACACCGUAAACGAUGAAUGCCAGUCGUCGGGCAGUAUACUGUUCGGUGACACACCU
rnacentral:rRNA from 1 species